rnacentral:rRNA from 1 species
AACGAACGCUGGCGGCAUGCCUUACACAUGCAAGUCGAACGAGACCUUCGGGUCUAGUGGCGCACGGGUGCGUAACGCGUGGGAACCUGCCCUUAGGUUCGGAAUAACUCCCCGAAACUAGUGCUAAUACCGGCUAAUGUCUUCGGACCAAAGAUUUAUCGCCUUUGGAUGGGCCCGCGUUGGAUUAGCUAGUUGGUAGGGUAAAAGCCUACCAAGGCGACGAUCCAUAGCUGGUCUGAGAGGAUGAUCAGACACACUGGGACUGAGACACGGCCCAGACUUCUACGGGAGGCAGCAGUGGGGAAUCUUGGACAAUGGGCGAAAGCAUGAUCCAGCUAUGCCGCGUGAGUGAUGAAGGACUUAGGGUUGUAAAGCUCUUUUACACGCGAUGAUAAUGACAGUACCGUGAGAAUAAGCUCCGGCUAACUCCGUG